CUACACAUGCAAGUCGAACGGUAACAGGAAGCAGCUUGCUGCUUCGCUGACGAGUGGCGGACGGGUGAGUAAUGUCUGGGAAACUGCCUGAUGGAGGGGGAUAACUACUGGAAACGGUAGCUAAUACCGCAUAACGUCGCAAGACCAAAGAGGGGGACCUUCGGGCCUCUUGCCAUCGGAUGUGCCCAGAUGGGAUUAGCUAGUAGGUGGGGUAACGGCUCACCUAGGCGACGAUCCCUAGCUGGUCUGAGAGGAUGACCAGCCACACUGGAACUGAGACACGGUCCAGACUCCUACGGGAGGCAGCAGUGGGGAAUAUUGCACAAUGGGCGCAAGCCUGAUGCAGCCAUGCCGCGUGUAUGAAGAAGGCCUUCGGGUUGUAAAGUACUUUCAGCGGGGAGGAAGGCGAUAAGGUUAAUAACCUUGUCGAUUGACGUUACCCGCAGAAGAAGCACCGGCUAACUCCGUGCCAGCAGCCGCGGUAAUACGGAGGGUGCAAGCGUUAAUCGGAAUUACUGGGCGUAAGCGCACGCAGGCGGUCUGUCAAGUCGGAUGUGAAUCCCCCGGGCUCACCUGGGAACUGCAU
rnacentral:rRNA from 1 species